ensembl:lncRNA
GGGAGCAGUAAUCACACAGGAGAGAAACUUGGAUAUGGGGAGAAACAAGCCAGAGAUACCAAAGUAAAACAGGAAACACAGGGAAACACACCAAAACAAGACAAGGAAACACACAGACCAUGAGAAAACUAGUGUCCUUACCCAGAGAGCCAUUAAAAAAAACACAAGUUCCCCUGUAAAGGGUAGAGUCCUUGCAAUUGCCAGGACUUGAUCAAUUUAAAGCAAACCGGUAACCCUGUUGAUGAACACAGGUCAAUGAGAGAUUAAAGAGGUUCACCAUGACCGUCAUGGACCCGAAAGACGAGGACUUUGGGACAUACUUGUGUCUCUCUGAUCGAUGACGGCCACCAAAAAACUAUACCAAACUCCGCCUGACAGAACUCGCGAUACCUUCUACUCGUUCAUAAAACAUAACAGCACGAUCCCCUUGGGUUGUCACGUGACCUUACUGGAGGGAAACAUCGGCUAACCUACUACUUCGCGCCAAUGAGAAGUCUGCAAACACAUCACGUCUAACAAACGCUUGGAUACCUUCUUCGAGCUCUGGUGAUACGUACCAUUGCGCUGCUGGCCCCUGGUGGAAUGACUGGUGCAUUUACAACCAACCUAAUAGAAACUGGUUGAACUCAGCAGAGAACUACUAACUAUCCUGAACCCAGGGUGCCACACUAGCAGUUGAGUGGAUGUUUUGAGAUGAACUGUAAUGGGGAUGCAUUUUAAUUAUCUCAAGAUGGAAUAAACAUCACAGGUUGUUAUACAGCUUGUAAUAAGUGACCUAUAGGGACAAUCGUCAUGGAUUCUUUCCCUGCUUUCUACGGAUUGAAAGGUAGGAACACCAGUUCAACAGGUGUUAAACUUUCAUGCAUUGAUAUUAAAUGGAAUUUGAUCAAUAUGAUUUAUGGGGCAAAAACAAAAGAACAUUAUAGCACUAAUAUAAAUAAUUAUCAGAAAAUAAUGGUGUUAUUCAUUGUAUUAUAAGUAUCCCUACUGUACAUGUUUUGCCUGAAAUAAAUGUCUUGACUUCUU